UGGCUUAGAGGUUAAAGCGUCUGCCUCCAAAGCGGGAGAACUGGGUUCGAUCCCGG
rnacentral:tRNA from 1 species